GUGAGGAGUUCUUUCUUGGGGGAGGAGGGGAUUCUUUUUCUAUUUAAGUAAGCGAGCUUGCCCGGCGCUUCCUGUUGGCUAGGGCAUUUAUUGGUGGCGUCUGAGAGUUAACAGGUUUCGUUGGUGGCCUCGAGCCCUCCAAAUAGCGCUGGGGUUUUGGGAAGGACAAAAUGGCGUGGGUCAUGCCGGCUGCCCUCCCAGUGAUGAGGACCUUUCACAGACCUGUACUGAGCUCCGUGAGGAUGAGGAACUCUGAGGAUUCGGCGCUGCACUGCCGUCGGUCUAGGAAACAUGUCGGAAUAUCCGGUGCUAACCGAAUGUCUUGUCUGCAGGGCUCAGGCGCACGUUUAAACACGAAGACUCAAACAGCACGCUCAGAAUGGGGCUCAGUGCAGAGGACCUUAGUGGUUGGCAAAUGAGACAGGAUCCGUUGUUUGAAAUCCUCAAUACAGGGAUGCUCCAGCAUCACAAAACCUGUCCUGAGGAAUUCAAACGUCUUCCAGGCUGAAUACAGGUUGCCCUGGUGAUGCUGUUUCUUUUACCUUGUGGUGCCCACUGGUGCCCAGAGCAAGCUUGUGGAAAGCAGAACUGCUUUUUUUUGGGUGUGCCACUGAAAAGCCUCCAGAGUUAAGAGGUGCUGUCACCAGUAAUCUGCUUUUUGGUCUAAAGGUCGUGCGCUUUGUCUGGCCUCUUCAGAGUAAUUUGAGGUCACCCAAGCAAUGUUUCUCUUCAACUCAAGGCUGAAAUCAUAGGUCUGAGGGAAGAACAAGAUGCAUAUAAACGGAUUCCAAAAUGUGGUCAAUGACAACAGUUUCAAGUCCUUCUACAACCUAACCACUUGAGUCUAGCAUCUUGCCAUUUAAUUGUGAACUCCCUGCCAUUGCUGAUCAGGCUCUUCAUAACAUUUGCACAGUUUUUCACUGCAGCAACCUGUUCAGUUUGUAUUGACAAAUAAAAUCUUUAAGAAAUCUU